UUUUCCUCAGGAUAGUUGGAGCUCGGAAACGAGUUCUAUUGGGUAAAGCCAAUGAUUAAAGGCAUCGGGGAUGCAAUGUCCUCGACCUAUUCUCAUACUUUCAAUAGGCAGGAUGGGGUGGCUGCUUGUAACGCCCGAAUCCGGCCUCUCGACAAGACUGAACCCGUUUGCUACUUAAUCAAUUUCUUUGCUUGUUUGAUUCAUUUUAAGUCUUUCAUUUACUAAGUCAUGUUCAAAUCUGAGGUUCUA
rfam:Brassica napus, WGS project CCCW01000000 data, contig: 19220